rnacentral:rRNA from 1 species
CGCUCCUACCGAUUGAAUGGUACGGUGAAGUGUCCGGAUUGUGCGACAUGGGCAUUGCAGAAUCCCGUGAACCAUCGAGUCUUUGAACGCAAGUUGCGCCCGAUGCCAUUAGGUUGAGGGCACGUCUGCCUGGGUGUCA